rnacentral:lncRNA from 1 species
CUGGUUGUGGCCGGCAGCCCCGAUUUGACGUUAACUUCUCGAACGCUGCCGAUCGCCAGAUCGCCCUGCACCACGCAUCUGCUGAUGAAGGGCUUGUACUUGUGUGGCUGGUCGAAUCGCCUCACCAAUGACCAAACUUGUCAUCACAACAAGAGAGCCCGCGCUCAGAGUGCUUCCGUUUGAUCCAGGUUUUCCGCUCUACAGCACCACUAUCGACAUGCUCCACCGACGAGCAAAAAAAGACGACAACUUGGACGCCCAGAUCGAGGAGAAAUGGGGGAAAGACAUGUGCUUCAGAACAGAGAAGUCGAUUUCUCGAAAAGAAGCUUCUUUUUCUUCCCCUGCUCCGACUGCUUCUUCUGAUUCCUCGAGCAUGCAGGGUCCAAGUAAGCAGGGAAUCGAUCGACCAAUCCAUUUCUAUAGAAAAUAUUGCAUAUAUCUCAAACCGGAAAAAGAAAUCAAAUCGCCAGAGCUCGGUUCCGCAAGAUCAAGAUCGAGAGAUGGAGAGACGAAAGGGCGAAAGAAAGAAAAAGAAAGAAAGAUAAACAGGGGAAGGAGACGAUACGAGAUGGACAGGGGCCUUGAUGUGCUUGACGAGAGUGGAGCUGCACUGGUCGUCCCUGGCCUCCUGCCUGUGGUGCUUCCUCACGUACUCCUCCUCCAUCGGCCAGCAUCCGCCGCUCAUCUGGUCGCACCACCAUCAGUCGACUUCCUCUCUCUCUCUGCAACCAGUAACCGCCUCUAUCUCUCGGAGAAGAGGAAGCAGCCUCUUCGCCGAAGCUUAUCCACUACAUUAGUCCUCUUCUGCAAUUCCCGAUCGCUAUAAGCUUGUUGGGUUACACAGGUCUUGUCUGCGCCACCACCCCACCCCACCCCGUCCUUGGAAGGCAAAAAGCGGAAGCCGGAAGGGUUCGAUUCUUAACUGUCCGACACGUCUCGUGUUUCUACUGGUUCUCGCGGGCCCAUUCCUUUUAUACAAUGUCGCGAUUCCUACCCGAUGAGGUACC